rnacentral:rRNA from 1 species
AUUGAACGCUGGCGGCAGGCCUAACACAUGCAAGUCGAACGAGUGGCGGACGGGUGAGUAAUGUCUGGGACUCUGCCUGAUGGAGGGGGAUAACUACUGGAAACGGUAGCUUAUACCGCAUACCAUCAGAUGUGCCCAUAUGGGAUUAGCUAGUUGGUGGGGUAACGGCUCAUCAAGGCGACGAUCCCUAGCUGGUAUGAGAGGAUGACCAGCCACACUGGGACUGAGACACGGCCCAGACUCCUACGGGAGGCAGCAGUGGGGAAUAUUGCACAAUGGGCGCAAGCCUGAUGCAGCCAUGCCGCGUGUAUGAAGAAGGCCUUCGGGUUGUAAAGUACUUUCAGCGGGGAGGCGUUACCCGCAGAAGAAGCACCGGCUAACUCCGUGCCAGCAGCCGCGGUAAUUC